rnacentral:rRNA from 1 species
AACGAACGCUGGCGGCAUGCCUAACACAUGCAAGUCGAACGAGACCUUCGGGUCUAGUGGCGCACGGGUGCGUAACGCGUGGGAACCUGCCCUUAGGUUCGGAAUAACUCCCCGAAAGGGGUGCUAAUACCGGAUAAUGUCUUCGGACCAAAGAUUUAUCGCCUUUGGAUGGGCCCGCGUUGGAUUAGCUAGUUGGUAGGGUAAAAGCCUACCACGGCGACGAUCAAUAGCUGGUCUGAGAGGAUGAUCAGCCACACUGGGACUGAGACACGGCCGAGACUCCUACGGGAGGCAGCAGUGGGGAAUAUUGGACAAUGGGCGAAAGCCUGAUGCAGCAAGGCCGCGUGAGUGAUGAAGGCCUUAGGGUUGUAAAGCUCUUGUACCCGGGAUGAUAAUGACAGUACCGGGAGAAUAAGCGCCGGCUAACUCCGUG